rnacentral:rRNA from 1 species
UACAGAGGGGGCAAGCGUUGUUCGGAAUUACUGGGCGUAAAGGGCGCGUAGGCGGCCAACUAAGUCGGACGUGAAAUCCCCAGGCUCAACCUGGGAACUGCGUCCGAUACUGGAUGGCUUGAAUCCGGGAGAGGGAUGUGGAAUUCCAGGUGUAGCGGUGAAAUGCGUAGAUAUCUGGAGGAACACCGGUGGCGAAGGCGGCAUCCUGGACCGGUAUUGACGCUGAGGCGCGAAAGCCAGGGGAGCAAACGGG